rnacentral:misc_RNA from 1 species
GCAAACUUGGUCAUUUAGAGGAAGUAAAAGUCGUAACAAGGUCUCCGUUGGUGAACCAGCGGAGGGAUCAUUACUGAGUUACCGCUCUAUAACCCUUUGUGAACAUACCUACAACUGUUGCUUCGGCGGGUAGGCCGUCCCCUGAAAAGGACGCCUCCCGGCCCGGAACGGACCCCCUCGCGGGGCCCGGACCCGGCGCCCGCCGGAGGAUGACCAAACUCUAUUUUAACGACGUUUCUUCUGAGUGGCAUAAGCAAAAUAAUCAAAACUUUUAACAACGGAUCUCUUGGUUCUGGCAUCGAUGAAGAACGCAGC